GGAUUAGAAACCCGGGUAGUCCACGCCGUAAACGAUGGGCACUAGGUGUGGGAGGUGUCGACUCCUCCCGUGCCGUAGCUAACGCACUAAGUGCCCCGCCUGGGGAGUACGGCCGCAAGGCUAAAACUCAAAGGAAUUGACGGGGGCCCGCACAAGCGGCGGAGCAUGUGGAUUAAUUCGAUGCAACGCGAAGAACCUUACCUGGGUUUGACAUACACCGGAAACAUCUGGAGACAGGUGCCCCGCAAGGUCGGUGUACAGGUGGUGCAUGGUUGUCGUCAGCUCGUGCCGUGAGAUGUUGGGUUAAGUCCCGCAACGAGCGCAACCCUCGUUCUAUGUUGCCAGCGGGUCGUGCCGGGGACUCAUAGGAGACUGCCGGGGUCAACUCGGAGGA
rnacentral:rRNA from 1 species